GAUCAAAUCAAGCGCGAGAAGGGCGUUUGGUGAAUGCCUUGGCAGCAAGAGGCGAUGAAAGACGUGAUACUCUGCGAUAAGCCAUGGGGAGCUGAGAAUAAGCUUUGAUCCAUGGAUCUCUGAAUGGGGCAACCCACCUGAAUGUUUGUUAUUGUUAGCACAGCUGAUCAAUAAUGAGCAUGAACAGGUACUUAAGACCUGAAUACAUAGGGUUUUAAGAGCAAACCCGGGGAACUGAAACAUCUAAGUACCCGGAGGAAAGGAAAUCAAUUGAUACUCCCCUAGUAGCGGCGAGCGAACGGGGACCAGCCGAGCCGGAUAAGUGACUAGAACACGUUGGGAAGCGUGGCCAUAGCGGGUGACAGCCCCGUAUAGGAAGCUUUGACGGACGUAUUAAGUAGGGCGGAACACGUGAAAUUCUGUCUGAAGAUCGGAGGACCACCUUCGAAGGCUAAGUACUCCUUGCUGACCGAUAGCGAACCAGUACCGUGAGGGAAAGGUGAAAAGCACCCCGACGAGGGGAGUGAAACAG
rnacentral:rRNA from 1 species